UCCUAAAAGCAUCCUCUGCUAGGUUUAGAUGUAUGUCUGCUCUAUUGUCCAAAUCAUCGCUGCCUUCUGUGAGUGAAAAGUCUAGCACUCUUUUUGCAGGCGUAGAUUUUUGCACAUUUUGCACAGUGUCCUAAAAGCAUCCUCUGCUAGGUUUAGAUAUAUGUCUGCUCUAUUGUCCAAAUCACCGCUGCCUUCUGUGAGUGAAAAGUCUAGCACUCUUUUUGCAGGCGUAGAUUUUUGCACAUUUUGCACAGUGUCCUAAAAGCAUCCUCUACUAGGUUUAGAUAUAUGUCUGCUCUAUUGUCCAAAUCAUCGCUGCCUUCUGUGAGUGAAAAGUCUAGCACUCUUUUUGCAGGCGUAGAUUUUUGCACAUUUUGCGAAGUCUUGUUCAAGAGAAAGAUUUUUGCACAGUCAUUUUCUGAAGCUU
rnacentral:lncRNA from 1 species